GCUGGUUGAUUCGAGUCCAUGUUAGUGCACACAAAGUAAACUGCACGCUUUAGUUUUGAGCAUAAAACGCUGAAACCGGAGAAAUAAACCGUGCGAGGGGAACGAUAACGACGGCAAGAGUCCCCCGAUCAUUUAUUCUCGCUGUCCUGUGAACAACAGCGUGGUGUUAAUUGUUUGCUGUUUUCGCGAUCGUGUCGAGCAUGAGGCUAUCACCAGCAGCUCCUGAAACGCAAGACUGCCACACAUCUGUUCGACCAACGCCAGUUGAUCUAAACGCCAGUAGAUCUGGAACACCGGGCCGCCCAGGGAGAAGAUGAUUUGCAGGAUCCUGCUGCUCAUCAUCCUCACCUCAUGUGUCUCUGGAUCAUUUGUAGUCAAUGUGACACAGACCUCCUAUCAGGCAGAGGAGAACCACAACAUCACACUGGAGUGGACGUUCACCACCAACCCUGACAACUCCACAAACUCUGCUUCCAUCAUCUGCCAACAGAUGACUAAUUAUAAAACCUUUGGCUUCUAUCAUGUGUCCAAUGAUGUUGAGGUGUCAGAGUCUCAGGAUGAAAAGUUUUCAGGACGAGUCCAGAGUGACAAAGACGCCCUCAGAGAAGGACGAAUCAGACUUCAACUGUCCAGACUCAGGACUGAUGACUCGGGUCUGUACCUGUGUGAGGUGAAAACCGAGUAUGAUUAUGGCUUUGAUUAUUGUCGACUCAGCAUACACGCAGCUGCUGUUCCAUCAGCACACACCUGGAUGCAGAGGACGGUCCUCUACACUGCACUGGGACUGGAACUGACAGCUUUACUUGGCCUUGCAGUUUUACUGGUUAAUCGUUUCUGUGCCUUAAGAUGUCAUACUCGGCUGAGAAGAUACAAAAAUUUUAUUUAAAUGUUUAACAGGAGCUUUGUGGUGUCAAUUUGCACUAAGAGAAACUAAAAGCAGGGCUAAGAGGGAGCCAUGGGAGCCAUUUCUAUACGGACGAGCCGUCAGAGCAUCAGGCAGAAAACCUGAAGUUCAAGAAUCCAAGACAGCAUAAUGUCUGUUUGAAGUACCAGAAAGCCUCAUUGUGAUAUGAAGUGCUUAUUAUGUGCUCAUGUAUCACUGCAGAAAGGAUGAUGAUGUAGGUUAUGCUCCCAUGUGUGUCCUGUAUUUCUAAGCUGGACUCAUCCUGCCACCAAAUGGGAACUUUAAAAAAAACAAAAAACAACUUCUGCUCUCUUCAGUUUGUACAGCCUUUAAUCCACCAGAGGAUUUAGCCUAUAAAUACGCUGUUUUCCCAUCAGCUGUAUUCAGUGGUUAAACUUUAACAAGUGCCUGGAGUCAACAAGACCAAAGAAGGAAAUGUGCUGUUAUUUAAUCCUGACAGUAGGGACUGGACUUUGUUACGGCAGAUAACACACCUCAUUUGCUUCCUGUUUCCUCAAAGUGUAUGUGUUCCUUUAAGGAGCACACUGUCACGACCCUUUUGUUUUUACAAACAACAAUAAACUUUAUUAAUGACGUGGUUUACAGGAUUUGCAAUAACAAACAUGCAGUAAGAAAAUAGUCCUUUCUUUAUGCACAUACAACAGUUGUUAUUAGACUUUGGUACAUGCACAUUCCAUAGAGAAAGGCAUGAGCUGAGCAGAUGGUUCGAUUUUUCAUUGUCUAAAAUUCUGCUGCAGGUUUCUGUAACUUGUGGUUUCGACAAACUCAAACUAAACUGCUGCUGCUGCUUUUAUUUCAUUUCUUUCUCAAAUCAACACACACAGGCUGAUGAACUCGAUUUCUUUGAGCUGGAGUUCGUGAACUGGACGAAUUUCAUGUCUCAUGCUCAAUGCUUUCUUCUUGUUUUAAAUCCAGUCUAAAUUUUGAACUACACUGAGAUUUCAAGACGCUGCCUGCAGGACACAAAUCAUGUCUGGAAAUAGAUUCUGAGAUCAAUAUGAGAUGUUGUUCCUGCAUGAAGAUACAACAUACAGUUCUUUAUGCACUAUAGAGGAGGAGCAUAACAGCAACAAGAACUUCAUCAAAAUAAUUUAGGCAUGGAUUGAUUUGCUUUUAUGGGGAAAGAAAAAUAUCCAUGAAAAUAAGUAUUUUCCUCCACUUAUGGAACUAAGUGAAAUUCACCCUCUUGGCCAGAUGAUGGUGCUAUAAGCUCACCACUUCACUGUAUCCAAUCAAAUAUAUUAUCAUUAUUAUUAUUAUUGUUGUUGUUAUUAUUAUUGUUAUUAUUAUCAUUAUCAUUAACAUUAUUAUUAUUUUAUGGCACUUAUUGAAACCAAUGUUGCAAACUGCUUCAGUAAAACACCCUAAGCAACACAAUAAAUAUCAAACAAAAUGAAAAAGCAACACUAACCAAACCAUAUCCAUGUCAGUUAGGACAUGAAAGAAUUCCUUGAUCUCUCAAAACAAGAUAGAGUGGGAUUCAAAACAAGUUUAACAUUACCAUUACUUAAAACAGUAAUAUGGGGAUUAAAUGAGAAUGUCAAAGAUGUAAUGAAAUUUAUAAUAAAAC
ensembl:lncRNA